rnacentral:rRNA from 1 species
GACGAACGCUGGCGGCGUGCCUAAUACAUGCAAGUAGAACGCUGAAGAGAGGAGCUUGCUCUUCUUGGAUGAGUUGCGAACGGGUGAGUAACGCGUAGGUAACCUGCCUGUUAGCGGGGGAUAACUAUUGGAAACGAUAGCUAAUACCGCAUAAUAUUUAUUAUUGCAUGAUAAUUAAUUGAAAGAUGCUACUGCAUCACUACCAGAUGGACCUGCGUUGUAUUAGCUAGGUGGUGAGGUAACGGCGCAACAAGGCGACGAUACAUAGCCGACCUGAGAGGGUGAACGGCCAAACUGGGAAUGAGACACGGCCCCGAAUCCUACGGGAGGGAGAAGUAGGGAAUUCUUGGCAAAGGGGGGAACGCUGAACGGGGAACGCCGGGUGAAUGAAGAAGGUUUUCGGAUCGGAAAGAUCCGUUGUAAGAGAAGAAAGGGUGUGAGAGUGGAAAGUUCACAUUGUGACGGUAUCUUACCAGAAAGGGACGGCUAACUGCGUG